GGGAGCUUGCUCCUGGUGGCGAGUGGCGAACGGGUGAGUAAUGCGUCGGAACGUACCGAGUAAUGGGGGAUAACGCACCGAAAGGUGUGCUAAUACCGCAUACGCCCUGAGGGGGAAAGUGGGGGAUCGUAAGACCUCACGUUAUUCGAGCGGCCGACGUCUGAUUAGCUAGUUGGUGAGGUAAUGGCUCACCAAGGCGACGAUCAGUAGCGGGUCUGAGAGGAUGAUCCGCCACACUGGGACUGAGACACGGCCCAGACUCCUACGGGAGGCAGCAGUGGGGAAUUUUGGACAAUGGGGGCAACCCUGAUCCAGCCAUUCCGCGUGAGUGAAGAAGGCCUUCGGGUUGUAAAGCUCUUUCAGCUGGAACGAAACGGUGCGCUCUAACAUAGCGUGCUAAUGACGGUACCAGCAGAAGAAGCACCGGCUAACUACGUGCCAGCAGCCGCGGUAAUACGUAGGGUGCGAGCGUUAAUCGGAAUUACUGGGCGUAAAGCGUGCGCAGGCGGAUUGUUAAGCAAGACGUGAAAUCCCCGGGCUUAACCUGGGAAUGGCGUUUUGAACUGGCAGUCUAGAGUGUGUCAGAGGGGGGUGGAAUUCCACGUGUAGCAGUGAAAUGCGUAGAGAUGUGGAG
rnacentral:rRNA from 1 species